GAAAUGCGAUAAGUAGUGUGAAUUGCAGAAUUCAGUGAAUCAUCGAAUCUUUGAACGCACAUUGCGCCCCUUGGUAUUCCAUGGGGCAUGCCUGUUCGAGCGUCAUUUGUACCCUCAAGCUCUGCUUGGUGUUGGGUGUUUGUCCCGUCUCCGCGCGUGGACUCGCCCCAAAGUGAUUGGCAGCCGGCGUACUGGUCCCGGAGCGCAGCACAUGUCGCGCAAACGAGUGCCUUGGUACGGCGGCGUCCAUAAGCCCCUCUCUCACGCUCUUGACCUCGGAUCAGGUAGGGAUGCCCGCUGAACUUAAGC
rnacentral:misc_RNA from 1 species